rnacentral:tRNA from 1 species
GCGCCAGUGGUGUAAUGGUGUAGAGCAUUCCCGCCUGGUCGGCAGUAGGUGCGAGUUCGAGUCCCGUUUGGCGCU